rnacentral:rRNA from 1 species
AACGAACGCUGGCGGCAUGCCUAACACAUGCCAGUCGAACGAGACCUUCGGGUCUAGUGGCGCACGGGUGCGUAACGCGUGGGAACCUGCCUUUAGGUUCGGAAUAACUCAGAGAAAUUUGAGCUAAUACCGGAUGAUGUCUUCGGACCAAAGAUUUAUCGCCUUUAGAUGGGCCCGCGUUGGAUUAGCUAGUUGGUGGGGUAAAGGCCUACCAAGGCGACGAUCCAUAGCUGGUCUGAGAGGAUGAUCAGCCACACUGGGACUGAGACACGGCCCAGACUCCUACGGGAGGCAGCAGUGGGGAAUAUUGGACAAUGGGCGAAAGCCUGAUCCAGCAAUGCCGCGUGAGUGAUGAAGGCCUUAGGGUUGUAAAGCUCUUUUACCCGAGAUGAUAAUGGCAGUAUCGGGAGAAUAAGCUCCGGCUAACUCCGUG